rnacentral:rRNA from 1 species
GACGAACGCUGGCGGCGUGCUUAACACAUGCUAGUCGAACGGAAAGUCCCUGCUUUUGUGGGGUGCUCGUUUCGCUAACUGGUGAGUAACACGUACGUAACCUGCCCUUUACUUUCGGAUAACUUCAGGAAACUGGUGCUAAUACCGGAUAGGAGCUCCUGCUGCAUGGUUGGGGUUGGAAAGUUUCGGCGGUUGGGGAUGGACUCGCGGCUUAUCAGCUUGUUGGUGAGGUAGUGUCUUACCAAGGCUUUGACGGGUAGCCGGCAUGAGAGGGUGACCGGAUACAUUGGAAAUGAGAUACGGCACAGACAAAUAAGGGAGGCAGAAGUGGGGAAUAUUGCACAAUGGGAGGAAGACUGAGGCAGCAACGCCGCGUGCGGGAUGACGGCCUUUGGGUUGUAAACCGCUUUCGACUGUGACGAAGCGUGAGUGACGGUAAUGGGUAAAGAAGAACCGGCUAACUAAGUG